UCCUCUAGUAGUCCGAGCCGCAGACAGGUAAACAGGCAGACAGGUAAACAGGCGGACAGGUAAACAAGUAAACAGGUAAACAGGCAGACAGGUAAACAGACAAACAGGUAAACAGGCAGACAGGUAAACAGGCGGACAGGUAAACAAGUAAACAGGUACACAGGCAGAGAGGCAGAAAGGUAAACAGGCAGACAGGUAAACAGGCAGACAGACAGAAAGGUAAACAGGCAGACAGGUAAACGGGCAGACAGGCAGACAGGUAAACAGGCAGAGAGGUACACAGACAGGUAAACAGACAAACAGGCAGACAGGUAAACAGGCAGACAGGUAAACAGGCAGACAGGUAAACAGACAGACAGG
ensembl:lncRNA